GCUACAGUGUUUACUAUUUUCUUGUCAAACUAAAAUAGUUUACAUCUCAAACACAUACUAUUAUAACUCAAACUAAAAUAAUCUACAUCCUAAAUACAAAAUAUUAUAACUUAAUUAUAAUAAUCUAGGACUAUAAAAACAACUCCUUGUCCUAAUGUCUCCUAAAUCCCUAAAGUUUCUAACUUCAUAUAACACAUACAAAUUAAGGUGUCAUAUAUUUCUCUGAUUCACACAGGGACAAAAAGGGAUUAGGAAAAACAUUUUGAUCAUCCUGUUUGAAGAUUGUAUUUGACUAAUGACCAGUGUGCUCUCCUGAAGAAAGUGAUGGUGAAGAAAAAAGAAAGCAUUCCUGUUCAUGACUCCACUACCCUAAAAAGAGUCAAGAGAGAGAGAAAGAGGUUGAUGACAUCCAAAUAGAUAGCCACAGCAGCCCAAAUGUAAUCAUCAUAAGAGUAAGUGAGGAGAUUCCCUGUGUCAUAAAUGAUAUAUCCACAGAAAAUGAUUGAGGCCAAACAGCCAUAGACCAUUAUAGAGGUUUUACCCAGAGGAAAGAAAAGCUGCAGCAGCCAUGAAAAUGGAACCAGAGGUUAGAAUAUGUAAACCCCAGAUAGAUUAAACAUGGCAUUUGUUUGGUUUUGAACAGAAGUUGGGAACUUUGUUAAUGGUGUUUGAUGGAAUUGGAAAUAUCUGAGAGAGGCAAAUACUUACCUGAAUCAUUCCAAACACAAGAAGAAUGAGCAGAGCUCCAAACAAGAAUGGACCAAGGAAGCUGAAUUCAAUCCCUCUUCUAGCAGCCCAAAAUGUGUACAAACUCAGACUUAUGACUGCCACAGUGGACCAAAAUAUACAAGGCCAACCCUCCGCUGUCACGGACAAAGAAAUCCGCUAUCAGACGAACUGACAUGACGGUGGCGGCGACGGCGACGGCGACGGUGGCUACCAACUGAACGGAAAUGAUGGCAUAAACCUUGCGGAUGAAGGCCCAUCGGAGGUGCGAAGGCUCCAGCAUUACUGGGAAACGGGGACCCACUCCCGCCUCCACGUCAGGCUUCUGGUAGGGGUGGUUCCACAUCGUAUUAGUCCGGCGAUAGGCGGCGCGUGGUCUUAUACGUGCUGUUUAGUUCCUCGGAAAGUAUAAACUAAAUGAGCGGUGAAAUGUGAAGAACCGGAAUAUGUAGUAUGGGAAAUUUUCCCCGUUGGAGAGCGAUGGUGAAGUAUCCACGUGUAUCUCACGGUCAAAUGAAAUGCUGCCACGGUGGAGUGAGUUCUGCUGUGCUGUACAAACGAGUACAUAUUUUGACUAAAAAAAAAAAAAAUGGAAAAAUGGAAAUUAGAAUUUCAACCCU